GGAGGAUCCGAGCGUUAUCCGGAUUUAUUGGGUUUAAAGGGAGCGUAGAUGGAUGUUUAAGUCAGCNUGUGAAAUACGGCGGCUCAACCGUCGAACUGCAGUUGAUACUGGAGGUCUUGAGUGCACACAGGGAUGCUGGAAUUCAUGGUGUAGCGGUGAAAUGCUCAGAUAUCAUGAAGAACUCCGAUCGCGAAGGCAGGCAUCCGGGGUGCAACUGACGCUGAGGCUCGAAAGUGCGGGUAUCAAACAGGAUUAGAUACCCUGGUAGUCCGCACAGUAAACGAUGAAUACUCGCGGUUUGCGAUACAUUGUAAGCCGCCAAGCGAAAGCGUUAAGUAUUCCACCUGGGGAGUACGCCGGCAACGGUGAAACUCAAAGGAAUUGACGGAAGC
rnacentral:rRNA from 1 species